CCUCCUGGAAAAUUGAAUCCAACUGAAGAUUCCUGCCAGACAAAAGGUGCCACCACAGAAAGCUCUUGCUGCCCAAGAAGUGCGCAGGCUGCCCCAAAAACUGCACCUCAAAACCAAAGAUUCCAGACUUUUUUUCCUAGUGGAAAGGGCUGCUGUUCCCUUUUUUCAGCCCUGCUCUGCAAUGGCCUGUCCUACCUCCUG